CAGUGAGGACAUCGUGAGGAAGACCCUCACAGAGGGCAGUGGGGAGAGCUGAACUUGGGGACACUGAGGAAGAAGGACAAAUGGACUUGUCUCUACUGGGGAAGAAAAGGAGGAAGAGAAAAGCCAGGAGACACUUCCAGGGCACCUAGGCCAUGGUCACAGAGCAGAAACCCACGCCACCAGGGAGCCCCAAAGCUGAACAGAAAGAGAGCAUGAGCUGUCGUCAACACAGGAAAAACCCAGGCUUCCUGUUUGAACUCGGGCAGACACAGGACCUGAAGGUUCCCAGCUAGCUCUGACCUGAAAGCCUCCUCACUGAAGACCAGCUUCCGUGGUACCUGAAGGUGCUGUGCAAGCCUCCAUGGGAAGAAAGAACCGACAGUCCUACCCAGCUGUGCUGCCUAUGAAUCAUAACAGCCAGCAUGGCACAAUAUCCCAAAGGGUACAGCAGUGGCGCCCAUACCUUGGCAGUAACCAACAGCUCUCUAAUUGGAUUGAAGGUGUGCUCAACAAGAGAGAAAUCAUGUCUGGUACUGAAAACUUAGCCAGCUUCAGCAUUAGUGGAGCCAUGGGUCUUGGGGGAGCGCCUACAGCCGCCACUUUACUAAAA